rnacentral:rRNA from 1 species
UAGGGAAUCUUCGGCAAUGGACGAAAGUCUGACCGAGCAACGCCGCGUGAGUGAAGAAGGUUUUCGGAUCGUAAAACUCUGUUGUUAGAGAAGAACAAGGACGUUAGUAACUGAACGUCCCCUGACGGUAUCUAACCAGAAAGCCACGGCUAACUACGUGCCAGCAGCCGCGGUAAUACGUAGGUGGCAAGCGUUGUCCGGAUUUAUUGGGCGUAAAGCGAGCGCAGGCGGUUUCUUAAGUCUGAUGUGAAAGCCCCCGGCUCAACCGGGGAGGGUAAUUGAAAACUGGAGGACUUAGGUGCAGAGGGGGAGAGUGGAAUUCCAUGUGUGGCGGUGAAAUGCGUGGUUAUAUGGAGAAACACCGGUGGCGAAGGCGGCUCUCUGGUCUUUAACUGACGCUGGGGCUGGAAGGCGUGGGAGCAAACAGG